GACCUAAGAUGCACAUAAGGUUUGGACCCUGCCCGAACUUACCCGAACAAUUCACAUUCGGCCAACCUCGGGUUUAUUUUGAUCCUUCAGAUACAAAAAUCAAAAAUAUAAACACGGCUAUAUAUCAUUCACAUAAUAGAUAUAGAACUUUUCAGGCAUGAGAAGAAAUGAGACCAUUAGCUUUACAGUAAACCCCUUGGACACUCCAUGGAAAAGAAGAAUUUAUAUUAAUUAUACUCAUUAUAACUAUGCUUUUUUCAUUGCACGCAGAAUGUUUUUUUUUGUGUCAUUUAAUUGAUAGUUAUUAAGAAAGUUGGAAUAAAAAUAGGUUUGUGGAAUAAAAAA